rnacentral:rRNA from 1 species
CGUACACUCCUGCGGGAGGCAGCAGUGGGGAAUAUUGGACAAUGGGCGCAAGCCUGAUCCAGCCAUGCCGCGUGAGUGAUGAAGGCCCUAGGGUUGUAAAGCUCUUUCACCGGUGAAGAUAAUGACGGUAACCGGAGAAGAAGCCCCGGCUAACUUCGUGCCAGCAGCCGCGGUAAUACGAAGGGGGCUAGCGUUGUUCGGAUUUACUGGGCGUAAAGCGCACGUAGGCGGACUAUUAAGUCAGGGGUGAAAUCCCGGGGCUCAACCCCGGAACUGCCUUUGAUACUGGUAGUCUUGAGUUCGAGAGAGGUGAGUGGAAUUCCGAGUGUAGAGGUGAAAUUCGUAGAUAUUCGGAGGAACACCAGUGGCGAAGGCGGCUCACUGGCUCGAUACUGACGCUGAGGUGCGAAAGCGUGGGGAGCAAACAGGAUUAGAUACCCCAGUAGUCCCA